rnacentral:misc_RNA from 1 species
UUGAAAUGUCGUAUUCAAAAAUAAUAAUUAUCUGUACUCUCGAUAUUCGUAUCUUAAUAGUUUUUAUGUGUUUAAAAUGAUAAAAUUUAUAAUUGUUUUUUAGUGAAAUAAAUAGUAAAUGGAGAAUUUUGUAAUUUAAAACUUUUGUGCGCGAUAAUAAUUUGAGUCGACGUCGAACUGUCAACCGCUGUCAACCAAUAGCACACCGGCAAGCAUGCGACAGUGAUAAACACUCCCGUCCCCCUACCCCUUACCACCAAAUAGACCGAUAAAUCGCUUCUGCGCAGCUUCAAGGCCAGCCGUUCUUUUUACAUGACGCGAACUAUA